GAUGAACGCUGGCGGCGUGCUUAACACAUGCAAGUCGAAUGACGAUUUAGUGACUGAGUGGCGGACGGGUGAGUAACGCGUGGGUAACCUGCCUUAUACAGGGGGAUAACAGUUAGAAAUGACUGCUAAUACCGCAUAAGCGCACAGGAUUGCAUGAUCUGGUGUGAAAAACUCCGGUGGUAUAAGAUGGACCCGCGUCUGAUUAGCUGGUUGGUGAGGUAACGGCCCACCAAGGCGACGAUCAGUAGCCGACCUGAGAGGGUGACCGGCCACAUUGGGACUGAGACACGGCCCAAACUCCUACGGGAGGCAGCAGUGGGGAAUAUUGCACAAUGGGGGAAACCCUGAUGCAGCGACGCCGCGUGAGCGAAGAAGUAUUUCGGUAUGUAAAGCUCUAUCAGCAGGGAAGAAAAAAAUGACGGUACCUGACUAAGAAGCCCCGGCUAACUACGUG
rnacentral:rRNA from 1 species